GUGUCCGUUGGCUUAAUGGUUAGAGCUUAGGUCUCGUAUCCGAAAGGUCGCGGGAUCAAUUCCCGCUAGAGGCU
rnacentral:tRNA from 1 species